rnacentral:rRNA from 1 species
UCAAUUAUUUAUAGCCUCUGGCUAUAGGAAAUUGUUAGUGGCAGACGGGUGAGUAAUGCGUAGGAAUCUACCUAGUAGUACGGAAUAGCCAUUAGAAAUGGUGGGUAAUACUGUAUAAUCCCCGAGGGGGAAAGAUUUAUCGCUAUUAGAUGAGCCUACGUUAGAUUAGCUAGUUGGUGAGGUAAUGGCUUACCAAGGCUAUGAUCUAUAGCUGGUCUGAGAGGACGAUCAGCCACACUGGAACUGAGAUACGGUCCAGACUCCUACGGGAGGCAGCAGUGGGGAAUAUUGGACAAUGGGCGAAAGCCUGAUCCAGCUAUGCCGCGUGAGUGAAGAAGGCCUUCGGGUUGUAAAACUCUUUCAAUAGGGAAGAUAAUGACGGUACCUAUAGAAGAAGUCCCGGCAAACUC